GUAUGUCAAGGCAAAUUUGUUACCUAUGGAGAUCGUAUAUCCUUGUAAAACCCUAGAUCUAUAAGAGUGGAUGAAGGAGAUCAACUAUCCUCCUCUCUAGUAGUGACCCACAUGACAAAUGCGACAAAAAUGCUUUUCAAAUCGCUGCAUGAUCUUCCUAUCCAAAAAGACAGAUAUGGCAUAAUAAAAAAGGGCUCAACCCUUCUUACUAUUCACAUGCCCCAAAUAGGGGUCGUUGACUAAGGACGAGAGGGAGGAUGGAGAAUAGGAGGUGGCAGCUAAAAAGGGUCUAGUCUAUGCUCAUUUGGUUCCCUCAUAUUUAUAAAUAUUCUUAUCAGCUUAACCCUAAUGGAUCCUGCCCUAUUAGGUGUUGGAUCUUCAUCCAACUAUCCAAGCCUAUUGAAUUAGUGGAUCUCUACCAAAGAAUCUCUCAUUGGCUUUUAUUGGAUCUUAUCCACAAGAUCCAAUAAUUCAUGGGCUUACUAGAUAUCCAAUAAGAUAGGGACUCUAACGGAUAUCUCACAUCCAAACCUCUACUCGUCGCAAUACCUACUAUAUGUGUGUGACUAGCCAAAUCUAUUAAAACUUCUUCUGACUCAGUGAAUUAACAUCUCUUAUAAUUAUUCACUCGAUUUAUCGACUAUGGAUGUACUAGGCCACUAUAUCAUAGUCCUUAGAUGAUAUAGGGGAAUCUAAUCUAUUGAAUUUGUCUAUCCUCAAUUAUCAUGUAUAUAUAGUCCC
rnacentral:lncRNA from 1 species